rnacentral:rRNA from 1 species
UGACCAAUCUACUAAGGGCGCAUGGGGGAUGCCUUGGCGUUAAGAGAAUGAAGGGCGUGGAAGUCUGCGAAAAGCCUGGGGGAGUUGACAAACAAGUAAUGAUCCCGGGAUUCCCAACUGCAGCCAGCUGAAUACAUAGGCUGGUUUGUAACAACCUAGUGAACUGAAACAUCUAAGUAACUAGAGGAAGAGAAAGAAAAAUCGAUUCCGUCAGUAGCGGCGAGCGAAAUCGGAAUAGCCCAAACCUCGGGGGUUUCCCCUGGGGGGUUGUAGGACUCCAAUGUUGGAUUGUGUGUUGCUAGUGGAAGAUUCUGGAAAGGAUCACCACAGAGGGUGACAGUCCCGUACACGAAAGUAAAUACACACCAUAGGAGCACCUGAGUAGGUCCAGUCACGUGAAACCUGGACUGAAUCCGCGGGGACCAUCCCGCAAGGCUAAAUACUCCUUAACGACCGAUAGUAAACCAGUAGCGUGAGUGAAUGGUGAAAAGAACCCCUGCUAGGGGAGGUAAUGAACCUGAAACCAUGUGCCUACAAGCGGUCGGAGCUCUAUGUCUCAGCUUGCUGAGAAAUGGGUGACGGCGUGCCUUUUGCAUAAUGAUCCGGCGAGUUGUGGUAUGCGGCUUGGUUAAGUCCUUACGGGACGUAGCCCAAGGGAAACCGAGUCUUAAUAGGGCGAAUUUGUCGUAUGCUGCAGACGCGAAACCUGUGUGAUCUACCCAUGAGCAGGUUGAAGCGCGGGUUAAACUGCGUGGAGGACCGAACCCACUUAGGUUGAAAACUGAGGGGAUGACUUGUGGGGAGGACUGAAAGUGUAAUCAAACCAGGAGAUAGCUCGUUCUCUCCGAAAUAUCUUGAGGGAUAGCGUCGAGUAAAUUAGUUACCGGGGGUAGAGAUACUGAAUCGGAUGGGGGCCCUUCCCAGGGUACCCCACCGAACCAAACUCCGAAUACCGGUCAACCUUACCUCGGCAGUCAGUCCCUGGGGGAUAAGCUCCAGGGUCGAGAGGGAAACAACCCAGAUCGCCUGCUAAGGUCCCGAAGGACCACUUAGUCACUAAGGAAGUUGAAGUGCCGUGACAGCUGGGAUGUUGGCUUAGAAGCAGCCACCAUUUAAAAAGUGCGUAACAGCUUACCAGUCGAGCAUUUCUGCGCCGAUAAUGAACGGGAGUAAGU